rnacentral:rRNA from 1 species
UACGAAGGGUGCAAACGUUGCUCGGAAUCAUUGGGCGUAAAGCGCACGUAGGCGGCGCUGCAAGUCGGACGUGAAAUCCCUCGGCUCAACCGAGGACGUGCAUCCGAAACUGCAGUGCUCGAGUAUGGAAGAGGGUCGCGGAAUUCUCGGUGUAGAGGUGAAAUUCGUAGAUAUCGGGAGGAACACCAGUGGCGAAGGCGGCGACCUGGGCCAAUACUGACGCUGAGG